rnacentral:rRNA from 1 species
GAUGAACGCUAGCUACAGGCUUAACACAUGCAAGUCGCGGGGCAGCAUGGGGGUUGCUUGCAAUCCCCGAUGGCGACCGGCGCACGGGUGAGUAACGCGUAUCCAACCUGCCCUUCACCACGGGAUAACCCGGCGAAAGUCGGACUAAUACCGUAUGUUGUCCAUUGACGGCAUCCGAUUUGGACGAAAGAGUUGGCGGUGAAGGAUGGGGAUGCGUCCGAUUAGCUGGACGGCGGGGUGACGGCCCACCGUGGCGACGAUCGGUAGGGGUUCUGAGAGGAAGGUCCCCCACACUGGAACUGAGACACGGUCCAGACUCCUACGGGAGGCAGCAGUGAGGAAUAUUGGUCAAUGGGCGUAAGCCUGAACCAGCCAAGUAGCGUGCAGGAUGACGGCCCUAUGGGUUGUAAACUGCUUUUAUGCGGGGAUAAAGUGGCCCACGUGUGGGUUUUUGCAGGUACCGCAUGAAUAAGGACCGGCUAAUUCCGUG